UCCCGAAGUAUCGGCUAAGUGGGCAAGGGCGUGAUCGGACGGAGACAACCAGGAGGUUGGCUUAGAAGCAGCCACCCUUGAAAGAGUGCGUAACAGCUCACUGGUUUAGUCCGGUUGCAUCGACAAUCCACCGGGGCUAAGUCGAUCACCGAAGCGCGGGAUGCAGGAUAACCUGCAUGGUAGGGGAGCGUUGUGGGGGCGUUGAAGCGGGCGCGGAAGCGCAACCCGUGGAGCGACCACAAGUGCGAAUGUCGGUAUGAGUAACGAUACGAGGGGUGAGAACCCCCUCCACCGAAAGUCUAAGGGUUCCGCCGCACGGGCACUCCGCGGCGGGGAAGUCGGGCCUAAGGCGAGGGCGCGAGCCGUAGCUGAUGGACACGCCGUUGAUAAUCGGCGACCACACCCAGAACGCUAGCACGUGACUGAGAUGCUGAUGGGGAAUCCGAGCGACGAGACGAGCGUCGUUCACGCUGGUAGGGAGGGUUGUGUGGCAAAUCCCACAACCUGCUGACCGAGAAGCAAGUACGAGCGAAUUCUUUCGGGAAUUGGCGAGUCGGAUGGACCUAGGCAGCCGCGAAAGGCUUGGGCACGGAGGACUGGGUGUGCCCGUACCGCACACCGACACAGGUAGACAGGUCGAGGAGACCAAGGUGGACGAGCGAAUCCCGGUUAAGGAACUCGGCACGAAUGACCCCGUAACUUCGGGAAAAGGGGUGCUCGCUGGGGUGAAGCCCAAACGGGUGGAGCAUCUGGCGAGUCGCAGCAAAGAGGCCCAGGCGACUGUUUAACAAAAACACAGGUCGGUGCGAACGCGAAACAGCGGACGUAUACCGGCUGACACCUGCCCAGUGCUGGAAGGUUAAGGGGAGAUGUGCAAGCAUUGAACCGAAGCCCCAGUAAACGGCGGCCGUAACUAUAACGGUCCUAAGGUAGCGAAAUUCCUUGUCGGGUAAGUUCCGACCCGCACGAAAGGUAGAACGAUCUGGGCGCUGUCUCAACCGGGAGCUCGGUGAAAUUGCAAGGGCCGUGAAGAUGCGGCCUACUCGCAGCAGGACAAAAAGACCCCGUGGAGCUUGACUACAGCUUGCCAUCGGCGCGUGUGUGGCGCUGCGUAGGAUAGGUGGGAGCCUGGGAAGCCGGACUUGCGGGUUUGGUGGAGGCGACGGUGAAAUACCACUCUGCGACAGAUAUGCGCCUCACCCUUGGCCAUGAAACUGGCAAGGGGACGGUGGCUGGUGGGUAGUUUGACUGGGGCGGUCGCCUCCCAAAAGGUAACGGAGGCGCGCAAAGGUAGGUUCAGGCCGGAUGGCAACCGGCUGGGGCGUGCAAGCGCAGAAACCUGCUUGACUGCAAGGCAAACAGGCCGCGCAGGGACGAAAGUCGGCGCUAGUGAUCCCACGUGCCUGAGUGGAAAGGCCGUGGCGUAACGGAUAAAAGCUACCCCGGGGAUAACAGGCUGAUCCCGCCCAAGAGUUCACAUCGACGGCGGGGUUUGGCACCUCGAUGUCGGCUCGUCGCAUCCUGGGGCUGGAGUCGGUCCCAAGGGUUGGGCUGUUCGCCCAUGAAAGCGGCACGCGAGCUGGGUUCAGAACGUCGUGAGACAGUUCGGUCUCUAUCCGCUGUGAGCGCAGGAUGAUUGCGUGGGGCUGGCCCUAGUACGAGAGGACCGGGCUGGACAGACCGCUGGUGGACGAGUUGUGGGACGACCCGCAAGGCUCGGUAGCUACGUCUGGGACGGAGAACCGCUGACAGCAUCUAAGUGGGAAACCGGCCACAAGAUCAGUCAUCCAUGUAUAGAAAUAUAUGAGAGGCACCGUCGAGACGAGACGGGAACUGGGUUGCUGUGGAGGCCGUGUGAACGGUAGAGCAGACAACAACAGACAGCCGAGCGAUCAUC
rnacentral:rRNA from 1 species